GGGAUCAAUGUUUACCGGAAAGACUGGCACAUCUUAUGUAUGCUCGAUGCAGAGGGUGAUUGAUCUCACAAUCACUUGUGUGGAGACACUAAUACAAAGAUGUGGGUGCUCAUUAGAGAAAUGAGUUCACUGAAUUGACCUACAAAGAGAAAUCUUAUGAAGUCUUACUUACAUGUCAAAAGAUGAUUCUCUUAAUGGGAGUUGUGCAACUGAUCCUUUGACCUGAGAUCAUCAUAGUAUCUUGUGCACAUAAAUCCAUAUUUUGGUUUCCACUCAUUCAUGACAAUAAGUUAUGUACGAGGUCUUCUGGAUAUGGUGGAAUGUGUACGAAGGUUAUGAGUAGGUC
rnacentral:lncRNA from 1 species